ACAAAAACAAUUUACUUGUUGCCAGGAUAGUGGGUGGGAAAAGAGGUUACCAAAAAGUAGGCUUAGAAAAUGUUUUUAAUGUAAUUGUUGUAGUCAUUAUGUGACCAUAUAUUUGACAAAAUUCUUAGAACUAUACAGUACAGUGUGUAUUAAUACUGGGUAUUACUGUAUGUAAAUUAUGCAUUCAUUAGUGAAUGAAAAAAGAAAUAACAAAUUUAAUAUGCACACAAAUUAUGUGGGUAUAUUAAAAAUAAUAAGCUUGAUCCCCACUGGCAGCUUUAAUUGCUUCUUCACCAGGAAAGUAGAAUGAGGAGCUGUAGAUCCUCUCACAGGGAACAUCUCCAGAGAUCUCCAUGCCCUUAUAAUUCUCCUCAUAUCUCCAUAUAUUAGCAUAUGAAAUCCCAACAUGACUCCCAACAUGAUGUAGUUUUAGAGAGACCACACUGUGUACAAAGCUCCAUGGAUCAUCAUUUAUUCAUCUAAAGGAUAAUUGUUUUUAGUUCAUGCAUGCCUUCUGACCUGAGGCUUUGCUAUGAACCUUCAACCCUGCUCAGGGAAAACAUCCCAAGUUAAAAAUUACAUUGACUGACUUUUGCACGAUGACCCCUUAGCAAGAUGUUUUACAGCCCUCACUUACUUGUUAUUUACAGAUGCAAUUCCGUGAAUUAUGUGAGAGAGACCUUGAAACCUGUUGACCAGUACCUGAAAGCAAGCUUCUCCAAACAUAUUAAUGCAAUAUUCCAUGGCUGA
rnacentral:lncRNA from 1 species